rfam:Oryzias latipes DNA, chromosome20, strain: Hd-rR.
UACUUAUCAGCAGCAGCGCCUGCUAUAAGCU